rnacentral:sRNA from 1 species
GCUUCCGGUGAGCGACAGAGGCAGCUCCCCAGGGCCUGGAGACGCGUGGGGCGGACUCUGGGAUCUGAGCCCAUCGCCCUGGCCUGGAGUCCCCCUUUGUACCUAUUCCCCAUUCCCCUACCGAGCUGGGCAGUUAGCCAGCCCACUCCAACUCUCGGAACCAUGUUUGCAGACUUGGAUUAUGACAUCGAAGAGGAUAAACUCGGAAUCCCGACUGUGCCUGGGAAGGUGACCCUGCAGAAGGAUGCUCAGAACCUGAUCGGGAUCAGCAUUGGAGGAGGGGCCCAGUACUGUCCCUGCCUCUAUAUCGUCCAGGUAUUUGACAACACCCCAGCAGCCUUGGACGGCACAGUGGCAGCUGGCGAUGAGAUCACCGGUGUCAAUGGCAGGUCAAUCAAAGGGAAAACUAAGGUGGAGGUGGCGAAGAUGAUUCAGGAGGUGAAGGGGGAGGUGACCAUCCACUACAACAAGCUGCAGGCGGACCCCAAGCAGGGCAUGUCCCUGGACAUUGGUAAGCUGGUCAGAGCAGUUACGGGUGUCCAGCAGCCUCCCUGGAUGGGCCCUGGCCCAAAGGAGAAGUGCCACAGCCAGCCCUGCCCUCCCCUUUAUGACAGGAGAAUCCAGAGUUACAUGGCUGUGGGCUCUGACCUCUGACCAAGCAAAUCUGAAAGGCCUGGGAGGCCUCCCGGUGCUCUCCCUGCGUCUGUUCCUGUACUCUGUCCCUGGUUUCUCACUCCCCCGCGUUUCACCCCUACCUCCCCGCUUCGGCCACGUCCUCUGGGAACUUGCUACCCUAGGGUUGUCCUUUGCGGGCCAGCGCCUCGGC